rnacentral:rRNA from 1 species
CAAUAGCGUAUAUUUAAGUUGUUGCAGUUAAAAAGCUCGUAGUUGGAUUUCGGUUAAGAGCGACCGGUCCGCCGUUUGGUGUGCACUGGUUGGUUUUAACUUCCUGUAGAGGACGUGCUCUGGGUUUAACGACCUGGACUCGGAGUCUACGUGGUUACUUUGAAAAAAUUAGAGUGUUCAAAGCGGGCUUACGCUUGAAUAUUUCAGCAUGGAAUAACACUAUAGGACUCCUGGCCUAUUUCGUUGGUCUCGGGACGGGAGUAAUGAUUAAGAGGAACAGUUGGGGGCAUUCGUAUUUCAUUGUCAGAGGUGAAAUUCUUGGAUUUAUGAAAGACGAACUUCUGCGAAAGCAUUUGCCAAGGAUGUUUNCAUUA